GGCUCAUUAAAUCAGUUAUCGUUUAUUUGAUAGUACCUUACUACUUGGAUAACCGUGGUAAUUCUAGAGCUAAUACAUGCUAAAAAUCCCGACUUCGGAAGGGAUGUAUUUAUUAGAUUAAAAACCAAUGCCCUUUGGGCUCACUGGUGAUUCAUGAUAACUUCUCGAAUCGCAUGGCCUUGCGCCGGCGAUGGUUCAUUCAAAUUUCUGCCCUAUCAACUUUCGACGGCUGGGUCUUGGCCAGCCAUGGUGACAACGGGUAACGGAGGGUUAGGGCUCGACCCCGGAGAAGGAGCCUGAGAAACGGCUACUACAUCCAAGGAAGGCAGCAGGCGCGCAAAUUACCCAAUCCCGACACGGGGAGGUAGUGACAAUACAUACUGAUACAGGGCUCUUUUGGGUCUUGUAAUUGGAAUGAGUACAAUUUAAAUCCCUUAACGAGGAACAAUUGGAGGGCAAGUCUGGUGCCAGCAGCCGCGGUAAUUCCAGCUCCAAUAGCGUAUAUUAAAGUUGUUGCGGUUAAAAAGCUCGUAGUUGAACCUUGGGCCUGGCUGGCCGGUCCGCCUCACCGCGUGCACUGGUACGGUCGGGCCUUUCCCUCUGGGGAACCGCAUGCCCUUCACUGGGUGUGUCGGGGAACCAGGACUUUUACUUUGAAAAAAUUAGAGUGUUCAAAGCAGGCUUAUGCUCGGAUACAUUAGCAUGGAAUAAUAGAAUAGGACGUGCGGUUCUAUUUUGUUGGUUUCUAGGACCGCCGUAAUGAUUAAUAGGGACAGUCGGGGGCAUCAGUAUUCAAUUGUCAGAGGUGAAAUUCUUGGAUUUAUUGAAGACUAACUACUGCGAAAGCAUUUGCCAAGGAUGUUUUCAUUAAUCAGGAACGAAAGUUAGGGGAUCGAAGACGAUCAGAUACCGUCGUAGUCUUAACCAUAAACUAUGCGAACUAGGGAUCGGACGAUGU
rnacentral:rRNA from 1 species